rnacentral:rRNA from 1 species
GACGAACGCUGGCGGCGUGCUUAACACAUGCAAGUCGAACGGAAAGGCCCUGCUUUUGUGGGGUGCUCGAGUGGCGAACGGGUGAGUAACACGUGAGUAACCUGCCCUUGACUUUGGGAUAACUUCAGGAAACUGGGGCUAAUACCGGAUAGGAGCUCCUGCUGCAGGGGGGGGGUUGGAAAGUUUCGGCGGUUGGGGAUGGACUCGCGGCUUAUCAGCUUGUUGGUGGGGUAGUGGCUUACCAAGGCUUUGACGGGUAGCCGGCCUGAGAGGGUGACCGGCCACAUGGGUCCUGAGAUACGCCCCAGACUCCUACGGGAGGCAGCAGUGGGGAAUAUUGCACAAUGGGCGGAAGCCUGAUGCAGCAGCGCCCCGUGCGGGAUGACGGCUUUCGGGUGGUAAACCGCUUUCGCCUGUGACGAAGCGUGAGUGACGGUAACGGGUAAAGAAGCACCGGCUAACUACGUG